CCAUUUCACUAUAACCCUAAAAAUAGAAAAGGGUGAGGGGAGUGGGAGAGGCUCUACUAGGGUUUUGCGCUCAGCCUCCCUCCACAGACAUCGAUGGCGCGGUCGCAGCUAAGGUGGUUGGCGGUCAUGCGAAGGGAAGGAGAAGACGGCUAAAGAGAGGAACAGAGGACGGCAGAAGGUUAUGGCCGCCACCGGAAGUCGUUUCCGACGGUGGUGCGUGGUGGUGUUAUGACGGUUCGUCUGUGUGGUGACUCCUCGUAAAGGUGCAACAAGUGUGAGAGGAAGAAGAUAAAGGAAUGCAAUCGCCGCCACCGAAAAUUGUCUCCAGCGGCGGUGCACGACGGUGUUCACAGGAACCACCGUCUAGUCGCGUUUCCAAUUGGUCCAAGCUCAUGCUUUUGGAAGCAUAUAUGGAAGAAACAUGCUCUUGGGGACAUGUUGGUGGCUAGGGGAGAGGAGCUCAGCAAGCUUGUUGGAGGAGAAAUAACCGUACAGAAAAGUGUAGGAUGACACAGAUUUUGAGUGCAGAGGAAAAGAUUAUUUUGUUAUUUUCUUGUCUUUUUCUGUUUUUCUUUUAUUAUUUAUUUAUUUAUUAUUUAUGCUUAUUCUGUGUAGUUUUUGAGUUUAAAUCUAGUUUGUAAAUUAUUUGUUCUUGAAUCAUUAAUUUGAAAAUUUUGGGAAAUAAAUUAGUAGAAAAAUUAGUGGCAUAAAAA